UCUCACUGUGUUGUCCAGACUUGUCCCAAACUCCUGGGCUCAAGUGAUCCUCCCCCUGUGACCUCCUAAAGUGCUGGGAUUAGAGGUGUGAGCCACCACACUAGGCCAAUGUGCUUCCCUUUAAAAGGUGGAGCUUAAUUUAUCUCCCCUUGAGCUAUGUGACUUGCUUCUAACAAACAGAAUAAGAUAGAAGAGACAGUGUGUGAUUUCAGAGACUAGGUCAUAUAGAGCAUGUAGCCUCUUCCUUUCUCUCACUUUUGAAUCACUUUCAUUCUGGAAAAAGCCAGCUGCCAUGUUGUAAGGACACUCAAGCUGCUCUAUGGAGAGGUCCACAUGGUGAGGAACUGAGGCCUCUGGCCAACAGCCACGUGAGUGUGCCAUCUUGGGAAAGGAUCUGCCAGCCCCAGUCAAGCCUUCAGAUACCUGCCACCCUGCCCAGCAUCUUGACUGCAACCUCAUGAAAGACCUUGAGCCAGAACCUUCCAGGGGCAUCAUCUACUCUGCCCAAACCAGGCGCUACCAAGGGCAGUGAAAUUGCUUUGAUUGACUUGGCCUAAGGACAUGUACCUGUGGUGGCCAUGGAGCUGCACCGCUCAGAUCUCCCUUCAAGAGAACCUGCUGUGGGGAGGGAAUCAUAAAUCCGGUUCUGAUUAUCGCCACACACACAGAUCCUUCUCAAAGAUUCAGAGUCUUAUUCUUUUAUCUCUUCCCUAAAAUACGAUCUAAUUUACAAAACUUUGACUUACAACUCCGCCAGAAGCCCAGCUGGCGUGUGAAGUGAUGCACUCUGCAGCCGGCAGCACUGAAAAGCACCGGCCUCCCGGGAACCCAGCAAGGACCGUGAUCUUCAGUUAUUUUGUGCAAUAAAGAAAUUUUGUAAAACGAGUAACAC
rnacentral:lncRNA from 10 species